GACGAACGCUGGCGGCGUGCCUAAUACAUGCAAGUCGAGCGCUGAAGCAGUGUACUUGUACCAACUGGAUUAGCAGCGAACGGGUGAGUAACGCGUGGAUAAUCUUCCUUUUAUCGGGGGACAACAUCUGGAAACGAAUGCUAAUACCGCAUAAAAACUUUAAACACAAGUUUUAAGUUUGAAAGAUGCAAUUGCAUCACUCAAAGAUGAUCCCGCGUUGUGUUAGCUAGUUGGGGAGGUAAACGCUCAACAAGGCGAUGAUACAUAGCCGACCUGAGAGGGUGGUCCGGCCAAAUGGGAAUGAGACAACGCCCAAACUCCCAAGGGGAGGAGCCGUAGGGAAUUAUCGGACAAGGAGGGAAGUCUGACCGAGGAAAGACGGGUGGGGGAAGGAAGGUUUCGGGUCGUAAAAGCCUGUUGGUAGGGAAGAAAGAUGGUGAGAGUAAAACGCUCAUCAAGUGACGGUAACUAAACAGAAAGCGACGGCUAACUACGUG
rnacentral:rRNA from 1 species